rnacentral:tRNA from 1 species
GGCUCCGUGGUCAAGCGGUUAAGACACCGCCCUUUCACGGCGGUAACACGGGUUCGAGUCCCGUUGGAGUCA